rnacentral:rRNA from 1 species
UAGGGAAUCUUCCGCAAUGGACGCAAGUCUGACGGAGCAACGCCGCGUGAGUGAAGAAGGAUUUCGGUUCGUAAAACUCUGUUGUUAGAGAAGAACAGCGCAUAGAGUAACUGUUAUGCGUGUGACGGUAUCUAACCAGAAAGCCACGGCUAACUACGUGCCAGCAGCCGCGGUAAUACGUAGGUGGCAAGCGUUGUCCGGAUUUAUUGGGCGUAAAGCGAGCGCAGGCGGUCAAUUAAGUCUGAUGUGAAAGCCCCCGGCUCAACCGGGGAGGAUCAUUGGAAACUGGUUGACUUGAGUGCAGAAGAGGAGAGUGGAAUUCCAUGUGUAGCGGUGAAAUGCGUAGAUAUAUGGAGGAACACCAGUGGCGAAGGAGACUCUCUGGUCUGUAACUGACGAUGAGGCUCGAAAGCGUGGGUAGCAAACAGG